CAUUUUCUCUCUCUCGCUCUCGCACUUUCCGGUGCUUUUCUCCUGUCCAAAGCCACCAUUUUUCUUUUCCUACAUAUAAUCAAAUAAAAAUCCCACCUUUUCCCUGCUUUUCCUUUCACUUUCCAUCAAACCCAGACUCAGGCUUUUCUUGAGCUUCACCUACUCUUCUGCAAGCUUUGAUCUUUUCUUCCCACAUGUUUUAACUCAAAGAACUUUGAUCCUGAUCUCUCUUUACUAUUCAUACUGUAACAAAGCUUUGAAUUUUGUUUAAAUAGCUCUUGUAUAAAAAGAAUUUGAAAGUGAUAUAAGAGAGAGGGAUGUCGAAGCUGCAAGUGAAUUUCAAUCAGAACAUAGACUACGUGUUUAAAAUUGUACUGAUUGGUGACUCGGCUGUGGGGAAAUCGCAGCUCCUGGCUCGAUUCGCCAGGAACGAGUUCAAUUUGGAUUCCAAAGCCACGAUCGGAGUUGAGUUCCAGACUAAAACUAUCGUUAUUGAUCACAAAACCAUCAAGGCUCAGGUUUGGGACACUGCAGGUCAAGAACGGUAUCGAGCAGUGACGAGCGCAUACUACAGAGGGGCAGUGGGGGCAAUGCUGGUCUAUGACAUAAGCAAGCGUCAGUCGUUUGAUCAUAUAGCAAGGUGGUUAGAGGAAUUGCGGGAGCAUGCUGAUAAUAACACUGUCAUCAUGCUUGUAGGUAACAAGUCUGACCUGGGGACCCUUCGAGCUGUUCCAACUGAGGAUGCCAAAGAAUUUGCCGAAAAGGAAAACCUCUUCUUCAUGGAGACGUCAGCUCUCGAGUCCACUAAUGUUGAAUCAGCUUUCCUUUCUGUUCUGACAGAGAUUUAUCGAGUUGUCAGCAAGAAGAGCCUUGUUGCAAAUGACGAACAUGGACAUGGAGGAAAUGUUUCACUUCUCAAAGGAACCAACAUUGUUGUUCCUGGACAGGAGCCGGAACCGGAAGCAAGGAGUUCAGGUUGUUGCAGUAGAUCAUAGGAUCAUUACCUUCCUUGCUGCACUUCAUGGGUUUCUGCUGUUUAUAGUUUCAGAUCAUUGCACGGCACUGUAUGGAGUUUUGUAUAUCAGGUAAUUGAACUUUUACACUUUAUCAAUGACUUGCUGGCUCUUUUUCACAUAGAGCUUGUGGAUCAUUGAGAUGUUACACAGUAUUACGUGGCUGUAAACCGAAAUUGGCUCAUUUUGUUAUAAUUAGUAGUUAGCUGUGGUUGGCACCUGAAACAGAAAUCUUUUAAUUUUACAGCAUACAUAAAAAAAAUAUGCCUACAAAAGAUUCAGAAUGUUUUUUUUUUUUCCCUUCCUGUGGACAGCAUUUCUGGAAUGUUGAUUCAACUCUUGAAUGACUUGAUUAUUCCCGAAAUUUAUUUCUGAUGAA